rnacentral:rRNA from 1 species
UACGUAGGGGGCAAGCGUUGUCCGGAUUUAUUGGGCGUAAAGAGCGUGUAGGCGGCCAGACAGGUCAGCUGUGAAAACUCGAGGCUCAACCUCGAGACGUCGGUUGAAACCGUAUGGCUAGAGUCCGGAAGAGGAGAGUGGAAUUCCCGGUGUAGCGGUGAAAUGCGCAGAUAUCGGGAAGAACACCCCGUGGCGAAGGCGGCUCUCUGGGACGGUACUGACGCUGAGACGCGAAAGCGUGGGGAGCGAACAGG